GACGUAGGGCGCGAGCGUUGUCCGGAUUUAUUGGGCGUAAAGAGCUCGUAGGCGGCUUGUCGCGUCGUCCGUGAAAACUUGGGGCUCAACCCCAAGCUUGCGGUCGAUACGGGCAGGCUCGAGUUCGGUAGGGGAGACUGGAAUUCCUGGUGUAGCGGUGAAAUGCGCAGAUAUCAGGAGGAACACCGGUGGCGAAGGCGGGUCUCUGGGCAUUACCUGACGCUGAGGAGCGAAAGUGUGGGGAGCGAACAGG
rnacentral:rRNA from 1 species